CACGUAGGUGGCGUGGUAAGUCAAAGGUGAAAGCCCUCGGCUCAACCGAGGAACUGCCUUUGAAACUGCUCUGCUUGAGUCCGGGAGGGGGGAGCGGAAUUCCCAGUGUAGCGGUGAAAUGCGUAGAUACUGGGAGGAACACCGGUGGCGAAGGCGGCUCCCUGGACCGGUACUGACACUGAGGUGCGAAAGCGUGGGUAGCAAACA
rnacentral:rRNA from 1 species